GACGAACGCUGGCGGCGUGCUUAACACAUGCAAGUCGAACGGAAAGGCCCUGCUUUUGUGGGGUGCUCGAGUGGCGAACGGGUGAGUAACACGUGAGUAACCUGUCCUUGACUGUGGGAUAUCUUCAGGAAACUGGGGCUAAAACCGGAUAGGAGCUCCUGCUGCAUGGUGGGGGUUGGAAAGUUUCGGCGGUUGUGGAUCGACUCGCGGCUUAUCAGCUGGUUGGUGGGGUAGUGGCGUACAAAGGCUUUGACGGAUAGCCUGCCUGAGAGCGUGACCGGCCACAUUGGGCCUGAGAUACGGCCCAGACUCCUACGGGCGGCAGCGGUCGGGAAUAUUGCACAACGGGGGGACGCCUGAUGCGGAAGCGCCGCGUGCGGGAUGCCGGCCUUCGGGUUGUAAACCGCUUUCGCCUGUGACGAAGCGUGAGUGACGGUAAUGGGUAAAGAAGCACCGGCUAACUACGUG
rnacentral:rRNA from 1 species